CCUGGAAGAGGGCCAGCAUAUUGGUACUAAAGCGGUGCUGGCCCCAACACAGCUCGCUGGGCCAGACGUGGAUGGCAAAUGGCUGACAGCCGGAUAAACAAGCCGCUCCCUUUUUGGUGAGCUUAGAGGAUGCAGGUGGAUAGAAUCAAGGCUUCAGGAAAUAUGUUUAGCACGUAGUAUGUGCUAAGUAUAACGUUACAUGCUAGAAGUUCAAAGGAAGAUCGAACAGCGUCCAGAAGUCCAAGGCCAUACAUUCUCUUCAUCAGCAUUCACUGGAGAGGGACUGUAACCUUUCAGAUGAGGAAGCACUACUUUAUAUUUUUCUCAUGCUUUCAGGACAUGUGAGCACGACGUGAGAAGGUGGCCACCUACAAGCCAAAAGAAGAGGCCUGAGAAUGAAACCUAUCUUUCUAGCACCUUGAUAUUGAACUUCCUAGCCUCCAGCACUGUGAGAAAUAAAUUUCUGUUGUUCAAGCCUUGCGGUCUGUGUUACUUUGUUACGGCAAUCCACGCUGAUUAAU